rnacentral:rRNA from 1 species
AUUGAACGCUGGCGGCAUGCUUUACACAUGCAAGUCGAACGGUAACAGGCCGCAAGGUGCUGACGAGUGGCGAACGGGUGCGUAAUGCAUCGGAACGUGCCCAGUCGUGGGGGAUAACUACUCGAAAGAGUAGCUAAUACCUCAUACGAUCUAUGGAUGAAAGCGGGGGACCGUAAGGCUUCGCGCGAUUGGAGCGGCCGAUGUCAGAUUAGGUAGUUGGUGAGGUAAAGGCUCACCAAGCCAACGAUCUGUAGCUGGUCUGAGAGGACGACCAGCCACACUGGGACUGAGACACGGCCCAGACUCCUACGGGAGGCAGCAGUGGGGAAUUUUGGACAAUGGGCGCAAGCCUGAUCCAGCAAUGCCGCGUGCAGGAAGAAGGCCUUCGGGUUGUAAACUGCUUUUGUACGGAACGAAACGGCUCUGGUUAAUACCCGGGGCUAAUGACGGUACCGAAAGAAUAAGCACCGGCUAACUACGUG